rnacentral:rRNA from 1 species
UUCCUAGGUGAACCUGCGGAAGGAUCAUUA